AGUCUUAAAUCCCUUGCCCAAGACAGGAGCCUUUGCUUUUUGUGAGAGUCCACGUCCGUCACCUAGUGUGACUCAUCCAUUCUCCAGUGCCUUGCCCCUCCCACUGCAGGAGCUACUCCCAUGCAGGACUUGUCUGUCAGGCUGCAGCACUCCUGCACAUGGGGCUCACUGCCUGUGGGAACCGCAGGGUCCAGCCUGGGGAGCUGCCAUUCGGGGCUAACUUGACUCUCAUACGUACAAGAGCCCAGCCUGUGAUUUGUAGCAAGGUAUGACAGAAGAGAGCCAGUAAUGCCCAUAUCUCCAGCUGCCAGGGAGUGGGGCAAAUUUGCCGAAACAAGAAAGUCAGCUGUGUGGAAGACAAUGACUCAUACACUUUUGCUGUACUACUUGGUGUUUCUUUUGCCCAUAGAGUCCUGUAGGACAUUGUAUCAGGCUGCAAGCAAAAGCAAGGAGAAGGUGCCUGCCAGGCCACACGGUGUAUGCGAUGGUGUCUGUACAGAUUACUCCCAGUGUACUCAACCUUGCCCUCCAGACACUCAGGGAAAUAUGGGGUUUUCAUGCAGGCAAAAGACAUGGCACAAGAUCACUGACACCUGCCGGACUCUUAAUGCCCUCAACAUCUUUGAGCAGGAUUCACAUUUGGUUCAGCCAUUUGAAGACAAUAUAAAAAUAAGUGUAUAUACUGGAAAGUCUGAGACCAUAACAGAUAUGUUGCUACAAAAGUGUCCCACAGAUCUGUCUUGUGUAAUUAGAAACAUUCAGCAGUCUCCCCGGAUACCAGGAAACAUUGCCGUAAUUGUGCAGCUCUUACACAACAUAUCAACAGCAAUAUGGACAGGUGUUGAUGAGGCAAAGAUGCAGAGUUACAGCACCAUAGCCAACCACAUUCUUAACAGCAAAAGCAUCUCCAACUGGACUUUCAUUCCUGACAGAAACAGCAGCUAUAUCCUGCUACAUUCAGUCAACUCCUUUGCAAGAAGGCUAUUCAUAGAUAAACAUCCUGUUGACAUAUCAGAUGUCUUCAUUCAUACUAUGGGCACCACCAUAUCUGGAGAUAACAUUGGAAAAAAUUUCACUUUUUCGAUGAGAAUUAAUGAUACCAGCAAUGAAGUCACUGGGAGAGUGUUGAUCAGCAGAGAUGAACUUCGGAAGGUGCCUUCCCCUUCUCAGGUCAUCAGCAUUGCAUUUCCAACUAUUGGGGCUAUUUUGGAAGCCAGUCUUUUGGAAAAUGUUACUGUAAAUGGGCUUGUCCUGUCUGCCAUUUUGCCCAAGGAACUUAAAAGAAUCUCACUGAUUUUUGAAAAGAUCAGCAAGUCAGAGGAGAGGAGGACACAGUGUGUUGGCUGGCACUCUGUGGAGAACAGAUGGGACCAGCAGGCCUGCAAAAUGAUUCAAGAAAACUCCCAGCAAGCUGUUUGCAAAUGUAGGCCAAGCAAAUUGUUUACCUCUUUCUCAAUUCUUAUGUCACCUCACAUCUUAGAGAGUCUGAUUCUGACUUACAUCACAUAUGUAGGCCUGGGCAUUUCUAUUUGCAGCCUGAUCCUUUGCUUGUCCAUUGAGGUCCUAGUCUGGAGCCAAGUGACAAAGACAGAGAUCACCUAUUUACGCCACGUGUGCAUUGUUAACAUUGCAGCCACUUUGCUGAUGGCAGAUGUGUGGUUCAUUGUGGCUUCCUUUCUUAGUGGCCCAAUAACACACCACAAGGGAUGUGUGGCAGCCACAUUUUUUGUUCAUUUCUUUUACCUUUCUGUAUUUUUCUGGAUGCUUGCCAAGGCACUCCUUAUCCUCUAUGGAAUCAUGAUUGUUUUCCAUACCUUGCCCAAGUCAGUCCUGGUGGCAUCUCUGUUUUCAGUGGGCUAUGGAUGCCCUUUGGCCAUUGCUGCCAUCACUGUUGCUGCCACUGAACCUGGCAAAGGCUAUCUACGACCUGAGGCCUGCUGGCUCAACUGGGACAUGACCAAAGCCCUCCUGGCCUUCGUGGUCCCAGCUUUGGCCAUCGUGGUAGUAAACCUGAUCACAGUCACACUGGUGAUUGUCAAGACCCAGCGAGCUGCCAUUGGCAAUUCCAUGUUCCAGGAAGUGAGAACCAUUGUGAGAAUCAGCAAGAACAUCGCCAUCCUCACACCACUUCUGGGACUGACCUGGGGAUUUGGAGUAGCCACUGUCAUCAAUGACAGAUCCCUGGCCUUCCACAUUAUCUUCUCCCUGCUCAAUGCAUUCCAGGGUUUCUUCAUCCUAGUGUUUGGAACCAUCCUGGAUCCAAAGAUAAGAGAAGCCUUAAAGGGUCGAGUAGCCUCUGCAAAAAGGAGCUCCAGAAUAUCAGAGAAUGCUUCUUCUGAAUUAUCUUGUCAUCCCAUCAAAGGCCCAAGUUAACAAACCAGGCUACAUCCCUAACCUAGGAGGUUGUAUAUUUCAGGAAUGGCAGAGCCCAAAGGAGAAAUGUGCUCAUUCCUGUCUUCUUGCCUCUGGAGAAUAUGUAGGAAGCUCACACAUGUGGUGCUGAUGGAGGAGGGCGUGAUGUGCAGAAAGGAUGAAAGGCUCCUCUGUCUCAGCUGUUCUGUGCUACUAAACAUUUCUCGUCCAUCAACUGUACAUAGCUACAUAUAUGUCAUGCUGGGCAGCCACAGCAAACAAAAAGACAAAGGGGGCCACGACCGUGGUUUUUGUUGGGGCUUCCAUCUCUAUGCUGUUGGGUCACAUUUGUCUUCAGAAAGCAACCUCUGUCUCAUCUUGGAAAAGGCGGCCUGGGAUUUCACCUGGCUGGAUUCUGUGUGUUGCUGAGGGAGGAGCCUCAUGAAUAGUCACAAAGAGUUGGGCUGACUCUAAGUAGGUCAUUGCAGAUUAUUAUUUUUUUUUUCAAAAGGAAUCCACUGCCAGUAUAUUCCGCUUUUUCAAAUUUAAAUAGAUUGGAUUGUCAACUAGGUUUAGGCUUAGAUACAACUUCCUUGGCCGUGAACCAAGGGGAAAAGCAUAGAGCUUUUGAGACAGAAAGAUGACCAUUUUCAGUUAAGGAGAUGGAAGCCUGGAGUUGUGAGUCAAUGCUAAUCGAGGACUGAGCCAGAGGUAGAAACACAAGUGUGCUGACUCCCAGCCCUGUACUUCCUCUUCAAGACCAUAUAGACACUGAAAGAUCUUCUGCCUACACUGACAAUGUAAGGUCAAUCCUCACCAACAAUAUGCUUUUUUGAUACCUGGGAUUGGAGAGAGGAGAUAUCACAUUUCCAAUUCAGAGCUGCUCUUUUUCUUAACCUGUAUGUAAACAAAUUCAACAUUCAAACCAGGUGUUACCUGAUAGAACAGUAUUGUAGGUAGAAGCCCUUUGAGGAAAAAAAAAAAGCCUCUUUACAAAGCAAGGACGUAGAUGACUUCAGCAGCAUCUAACUAGUGGAUGAAGGCAAAGGGGCAAUGGGCAGCCUUUAAUUAUCCCAACAAGAAGUCAGUAUUGAUGAUGUUUCAUUACAAAGGAGAAAGUGGGGCUCACUUUAGGUAUGAGUGCAGUCCCUUCCUUCCUUCCUUCUUCCCUCCCUCCCUCUCUCUCUUUCUCCCUUUCUCUUUCUUUCUUUCUUUUUUUCUCCCUCUCUUUCUUUCUUUCUUUCUUUCUUUCUUUCUUCUUUCUUUCUUUCUUCUUUCUUUCUUCUUUCUUUCUUCUUUCUUUCUUAUUACAAAUUAUCUUCCUAUAAGUAGGAAAGUUUGAGCAGACAAAAAGCAUCAAUCUGAAGUUAAAAAAAUGCAUCAACCUGGAGAAAUAGUCAUUUUUCAAAUGGCAUUGCUUAUCUUGGGACAACAAAAGCAUCCUUCACAAAUAAAGUCAGAGAGUGGUUUUAAUUUACCAUUUACCAAUAGAUUUGUAUGUUCUUUUCAAGAGAAGGGGUGAGAUAGACAUAGUCCUGGUUUUCCUCAAUGCAGGCUUAGGUACAAAGAAAUGUCACUUACCCAGAGUCCAUAUAUUGAAGUGAAAAUGGAAUUUCAUGAAGCAAAUAUAGUUAUAGGAUGGUAACUCUGGACAAAUUUUAUAAAAGACGAACUCCAAUUGCCUCAUUUCACAGAUAACAGCUCUGAGCACUAGGGAGAGAGGGAGGGAUUGGCCUAGCAUUUGCUUUGUGUCUUGAGCAGUCACAUCUAUUAUGGAAGUACUCACUACUCAGCUAUACUCAGUCCCUGAGACAGGAUGGUUGGAAAGACACCCCACCUUAGCCUCAUCAUUAAUCAAGAAACCCCAAGGAUGCUUAGAGAAAAACUCUGGAAUUAUCUGGGAAUUCCUGGAAGAAGCUAUGCCCUCUCUCCUGCAUCCCAAAGCCCACUCUACACCAUCUUGAAAAAUGUCAAGGAACUGCAUGGAUUAGGUUGACUCUGGAUGACCCUGGGUAGAGACACAUUCAGUUUCCUGCUGACACCUCACCAAGAAAGUGAUUUGGUCAGCUGACUCUAGGAGAAAUUGGUACUGAUAGUGUCCAAGGCAGAUUUUUAAGUAUCAGACUUAAUACAUAAUGAUUCUUGGGAAAACCAUUUAAAUCCCUGAGACUUUAAGUGGAUAAAUGUAGGUAAAGUAGUAUAGUACUUGGCUCAUAAUAGUUGCUCAUUCAAAUUCAAAUGUUAGUUUUAGUUGUUUUUUUUAAAUUAGAGUCCUGUGAAUACAUGAACCCACCCACCCACACGCAAACACAAGCAAACACACAGCCAUGACCCCAUGCAUAAGUUUGGCUGAAGACACCCUCAUGGGAACUAGUUCACUGACUUCCAAAUUAAAGAGUUAAGCAUUUGAUUUGGUCUGUUCAACAUUAGGGGUAUCAGCCAGCAAAAUCUGUUGAGCUUACCGUUGAAAAAUCCUUUCAUUCAUUACUGUGGUCAUAAUACACAGUUACCUGGCCAGGAAAGAGUACACAUCACAGGGAUCUGCUCACUUCAUGUGUGCCUGAGCUCUCCCUCACUUUCUACCUUCUUCAAGAAUUCUUCCCUGAUUGGUCCAACCAGAAGCGCUGAUUCUCCCCACCUGAUUUCCUGUAAUUUUACAAUCUAUGUCCUUCACUUUUGUGUUAUAUUGUUUAUUUCCUUUUGGUCUUUUUGUGUGCAUAUGUAUAUGUUUUGGGGAAUGGGGUUAUUCACUUUUGUUACUCACUGUGUUACUCACUUUUGUAUGCCCAUAGUGCAGAGCAUGGUGCCUUGUACAUAGAGUAUGUUCGGUAAAUAUGUGCAAUAAAAAGUCCUUUGAUUAC